GAGUUUGAUCGUGGCUCAGGGUGAACGCUGGCGGCGUGCUUAAGACAUGCAAGUCGAACGGUCCCUUCGGGGAUAGUGGCGCACGGGUGAGUAACGCGUAACUGACCUACCCCAAAGUCGCGGAUAACGAUUCGAAAGAAUCGCUAAUACGUGAUGUGCUGUCAGAUUGUGUUCUGCCAGUAAAGAUUUAUUGCUUUGGGAUGGGGUUGCGUUCCAUCAGCUAGUUGGUGGGGUAAAGGCCUACCAAGGCGACGACGGAUAGCCGGCCUGAGAGGGUGGCCGGCCACAGGGGCACUGAGACACGGGUCCCACUCCUACGGGAGGCAGGCAGUUAGGAAUCUUCCACAAUGGGCGAAAGCCUGAUGGAGCGGCGCCGCGUGAGGGACGAAGGUCUUCGGAUUGUAAACCUCUGAAUCAGGACGAAAGACGCGUAAGCGGGAUGACGGUACCUGAGUAAUAGCACCGGCUAACUCCGUGCCAGCCGCCGCAGU
rnacentral:rRNA from 1 species